rnacentral:rRNA from 1 species
GUAGGGGGCAAGCGUUGUCCGGAUUUAUUGGGCGUAAAGAGCGUGUAGGCGGCCAGGGAGGUCCGUUGUGAAAACUCGAGGCUCAACCUCGAGACGCCGAUGGAAACCCCCUGGCUAGAGUCCGGAAGAGGAGAGUGGAAUUCCUGGUGUAGCGGUGAAAUGCGCAGAUAUCAGGAAGAACACCCGUGGCUAAGGCGGCUCUCUAGUACGGUACUGACGCUGAGACGCGAAAGCGUGGGGAGCGAACAGGAUUAGAUACCCUGGUAGUCCACGCCGUAAACGAUGGGUGCUAGGUGUGGGGGGUGUCGACUCCCUCCGUGCCGAAGCUAACGCAUUAAGCACCCCGCCUGGGGAGUACGGCCGCAAGGCUA